UAGUAAUGACUACUAAUGUACACUUGAUUUGUCUACUGCAUCAACUUACCGCUCUGUGUUAAUACAACUUGACCUGUUAAGUUUCACCUUGUGUAAAAACUUAGAUGGUUUAAGGCAACUGGUUUCCACACAAAUUUCUAGUAAAGUCAACUAAUUCGGGAUAACAGUGUAUAUAGUUGAUAUGGUA